rnacentral:tRNA from 1 species
UGCUCCGGGUGUCCGAGGAGUGCGAGCGUUGGGGCUGG